AAAAUCAUUGUUAUUUCUUGAAUUUAGUUUGUGGAGGGUGACCACUGCCUCAAUCCUCCAAAAUCCUCUGCCAAUUACUGCAAUGGUUUGAGGCAGUACGAAUGGCAUUUAGAAGCAGUGCGGAUGAAAUACAAGAAAAACACAGGGCUGAUUUAUGCAUGGCUGAAUAUAACCAAUGCAGGAUAUGGCCUACUGGCUUGACAUAAUGCAUCCUCCUCAAAAAAGCGAUACAUCUUUGUCAUUCAUCCUCAUUCCUCUAAAAUCAUCCAAAACAGGCAGGAGGAUUUUGGAGGAUUGGGGGUUAGGGUUAAGAUUAUCCUUGAGUUACAUGUUCAGCCUGGUUAAUGUCGCAUUUCCCCUCACGAAAAAAAAAAUGCAUAAUUUUAAUUUACUCUAGGAAUGCUAUAAUUUUAAUGUAUACACGCAUGUGUGUUUCAAUAAAGGUAUCCAAGUGU